UACGUAGGGUGCAAGCGUUAAUCGGAAUUACUGGGCGUAAAGCGUGCGCAGGCGGUUCGGAAAGAGAGGUGUGAAAUCCCAGGGCUUAACCUUGGAACUGCACUUCUAACUGCCGGGCUAGAGUAUGUCAGAGGGGGGUAGAAUUCCACGUGUAGCAGUGAAAUGCGUAGAGAUGUGGAGGAAUACCGAUGGCGAAGGCAGCCCCCUGGGAUAAUACUGACGCUCAUGCACGAAAGCGUGGGGAGCAAACAGG
rnacentral:rRNA from 1 species